rnacentral:rRNA from 1 species
AUUGAACGCUGGCGGCAGGCCUAACACCUGCAAGUCGAACGAGUGGCGGACGGGUGGGUAAUGUCUGGGAAACUGACUGAUGGAGUGGGAUAACUACUGGAAACGGUAGCUAAUACCGCAUACCAUCGGAUGUGCCCAGAUGGGAUUAGCUAGUAGGCGGGGUAAAGGUUAACCUAGGCGCCGAUCCCUAGCUGGUCUGAGAGGAUGACCAGCCACACUGGAACUGAGACACGGUCCAGACUCGUACGGGAGGCAGCAGUGGGGAAUAUUGGACAAUGGGCGCAAGCCUGAUGCAGCCAUGCCGCGUGUAUGAAGAAGGCCUUCGGUUUGUAAAGUACUUUCAGCGGGGAGGCGUUACCCGCAGAAGAAGCACCGGCUAACUCCGUGCCAGCAGCCGCGGUAAUAC